rnacentral:lncRNA from 1 species
CUCUUCAUCCUCAAUUUUGUCAAGCAUCUCCAUUUUCUCACUGAUUAGUGUUAAGUGUAUUCAUAAAAGACAUAAAUCUAUCAUUCCUUAGUGUAAAUAUAUCAUGCUGACAAAAAAAAUCACUUCUCUCGAUUCCUUUUUUUUUUUUGUUGUAGAUCACUCAAUGUAAUACUAGCAUUUAAAAAAAAAAAGGAUAUGGUUUGGGAUUCAAUCGAACGACUAGAAUCAAGACUCGCCGACACGUUCUAUUAAAUGGACCCAACCCAAUGAUGACGAAAGGUCCAAUCAAGUAAUAAAUCAAAGGACCAUUUGACUCAGCUGAUUUAAUUUCUCUCUGAAGAUAAUAAAGAAGUGUAUUACAUGAGGGAUUCUUGUGAUUCACAUUUCACAUCAGAAGCCCACUCCCACUAAUUGUCGACACUCAACGCUCCCUGUGUAAAUAUCAAUCAACUUGUGUUGUUGCGGAUUUCACAAUGGAUAUUCUUCCAUUUGUUUAUCAUAAAUAUUGUGGUUAAUUGAAUCAUAAUGAUAAUAAUAUUCACAACAAAUAUAUUUUCUCCUUUUCUUUUGGAAUAAUAAGAUGCAGUUUUUGACCACUAUGGUGUGUUUGGUAGGAAGGAAAAUAUUUAUGAUCUCAUUUUUCUCCAAUUAAAAGAAAAUAUUUUUCAAAAUUCUUUCUCAAUCUUUUUCAUCCUAUUUCUCAUCCUCAUCAACCCACCCCCACACCCACCCACCCAACCGCCCUACUCACCCCACCCUAAAUAAAAAUAUUUUUAAUACUAUUUUCUUUUCAUUUUAUAGAUAGAUUUUUUUUUUGUAUUUCAAUAAAUGAGUAUUUUUUACAUGAUAUAAAAAAGUAUUUUUUUCAUUUCAACAAAAAAAAUACUUUCUUUUCAUAGAAAAAAUAUUUUCUUUCGUUUCAACAAUAAAAAAAUAUUUUCUUUUUAUGAUUUAAAUCUUUUUNNNNNNNNNNUACCAAACACACCCUAUAUCUUCCGUAUUACAUACACUAAAAUAGUACACGUAACAUUCCAUUCGUCUUGGUAACUUAUCUUUUACCUAGUAUUUGGUUUGCUUUUUUGUAUAUAGUCUUACUUUGUCUUGUUCAUGUCGGACUAUUUCAUCAAUUUCAUUUUAAGUGUUAAUAUUGAGAAAAAAUCCAAUAUAAUAUAUUAUUAUAUUAUAUUAUAUUUGAACUGCUUUCCUACUCAAAUAAUUUAUUUUAUUGUUAAUUUUAAUAUAGAAAAAUAUACCUAAUUAUUAAAGAACAACUAAGAAAAAUUUUAAGAAUAUAAAUGUGUGAGAAAAAAUAGGAAAAAAUGUUAGUAAAAGCCAAUAUCACUAAUGAUUUUGCAAACAUAAAGAUCUAAAGGUGGAAUGUCAUCGAUGUUUUUACUCUUUGAAAAUAAAACCACUUGGUGGAUAAAAUUAUAAUCACGGUUAAAUAUUCAAACAUGAGAUGAACUAAUAUUAAGAAUCUAAAUCAACAGAAAAUGAAUUAUAUUUCAUGUUAAAACCAAAUAAUUAAAUCUUUCAAUUAUUUAUUUAGCAAGAGAAUACAAUUAAAUUAUUUUUUAAAUUCAUCAUAUGAGAGAAAUUAUUUUUCAAGUUGAAAAAAAUAUAAUAUUAAGAAGAUCAUACAAGUAUUUGAGGAAGCACAAUCUAAGCUAAAUCCUGAACAAGAAUAAGUUUUCAAGAUUAUAUUAUAAAAACUGACUCGGGUAUAGCGGGAUUAUCUUUUGUAGAUGCCUCCGACGGAAUCAAAAUAAUAUUUCUAUGUCAUGUAUUAUUUGCAAAUAUCAAAUCAAGAGGCAUGAUAUUAUUAGCAGUAAGAACAAGUGGUUUACCAACAACAAUUUUAUUAUGAGGUCGUACAACUCACUUUAGAUUUGAUAUACCUCUUGAAAUAACUGAAAUAACCAUCACAAAUAUGUCAAAUCAGAUCAAUAGUGCUAAAUUUAUAAGGAAAACAAAAGUUAUGGGAUGAAGCGAAUUUGGCUAAGCGUCAAACGAUCAAAAUAAUUACCCAUUGUUUUAGAGAUAUAUUGGAUAUCGAGAACCAUUUGGUAAAAACGUAAUAGUUUGGGAGGUGAUUUCUGUCAGAUACGAUCAGUAGUUCCAAAAUUGACCAAAGCAGAAACUGUAAAGCUAGCUUUCCAAAAUUAUACUUAUGACCUCAAAUAAAAAAUAUUCAAAUGACAAGAAAUAUAAAAUUAAUAACAAAUCCAACAUUCAAUGACUUCUUGCUUCCUGUCGGAAACGAAGAAGAGCAUCAAAUAAAAGAUGAUUUGGUUCUUCUAGAACACUUGGUUAUUGUAAUGAUCCGGCUGGUCGUUUUGAGUAUCUGCACUUCGCUCGGUAUUUUGAGGUCUCGAGUAUCUUCGCAUGAUGUAUUAUGACUUGUGUAAGUCGUCGGUAUUGGUUUUCAAGUUAUCCGAAAUCGAUUUGGAAGAAUGAACUUAAAGAUUUAAGCUCUAAGUUGGAAGAGUUGACCAAGUUUGAUUUUUUAGCAUUUAACCUCGGAAUACAAUUCCGUCAAUUCCGAUAGCUCCGUUGGGUAAUUUUGGACUUAGGAGCGCGUCCGAACUGUAAAUUGGAGGUCCGUAAUUGAAUAAGUCUUGAAAUGGCGAAAGUUGGAUUUUUGGAAAGUUUGACGGGGAGUGGACUUUUUGAUAUCGUGGUCGGAUUUCGAUUUCGUCAGUUCGAAUAGGUCUGUAAUGACAAAUGUGACUUGUAUGAAAAAAUUGGGAUCAAUUGCACGUGAUUUAAUAGGUUUCAGCAUCGGUUGUAGAAGUUGAAGUUUCAAAGUUCAUUGACUUGGACUUGAGAUACGAUUUGUCGUUUUGAGGUUGUUAUGCGUGAUUUGAAGCUUCGAGUAGGUUCGUUUUGUCAUAUAGAACUUGUCCGCAAAAUUUAGAUCCAUUUGGAAUUGAUUUGAUAUGGUUCGGACACUUGGUUGUGAUUCUAGAAGUUCUUAAAGUUUAGUUUGAUCCUCAUGCAUUUAGGCGUCCGAUUCGUGGUUUUAGAGGUUAUUUUGAUGAUUUGAUCGCACGAGCGAGUUCGUGUUGUGUUUCUGGACUUUGGUUCAUGGUUAGUUUGGAUCCUCAAGGGCUCGGGUGAGUUUCGGAAUGAUUUUUCAUAAACUUUGAUUUUUGGUAAUGGUAUCAUCACAGUUGCGAUGUUUUUGUCGCAAAUGCGACAACCGCAAUUGCAAAGCAGCCAUCGCAUUUACAAGGUCUGGGCUGCUGGGAAAAUUUGCAUUUGCCAAGAACCCUGCCGCAUUUGCGAAAUGUUGGUCUUCGUAUUUGCGAAGUAUUGGGUCGCAAAUGCGACCUUGACAGGAAAACUUCUUGAGAGUCGAAUAGGACUCGGAUUUGAAAACAAAAUAUAUAUUUGAACUCGUGAGGCUAUGGGUAGUCAAGACCUACCAUUGGACCCGGAUUUUUACCUGGCGGGCCAGGGGUUUGACUUUUUAGAAAUCUAAUAAAAAUCACAGUUUUAUUAAUUAAAAUUACUUUCUCUUUCAUUGUGUGAUGUAUUCAAGUCAUCGUUGGAUAGAUUGAGCCGAGCGGAGGCGAAUUUGUAAAGGAAAAGGCUAAAUUUAGUAUUGAGUUAGCCGAAUUGAGGUAAGUGUCUUGCCUAACUUUGUUGAGGGAAUUUUUCCUCCUAUUUGACAAUGUUUUCUACAUGCGGGGGUGAUACAUAUAUGAGGUGACGAGCGUAUAUAUAUGUGCCAGGGUUAAUCAUGCUUGGGGGUAGAUUAUGUAUAAUUAUGUCUUGUACAAUUACGUGACCUUCUUGCUCCAUGCCUUACUUGACUCUUAGAUACUAAGAACAUAGUAUUAAAUGUUGAAAAUCAAGAUUUAAAUUAUUAUAACUUGAUCAAAUUUGAUGGAAUUCUAAGAAUACAUUUAUGUGUCUAAUUCGGUUAUUCCUAUGCGUAGUCAUUAAUACAUUGCUACAGCCGAUCUUCUAGAGAUACUAGAUUCUAUACUUGUGUUGUUGAUCAUUUGGAGAUUUGUGGAAGUACUUGAAUAAUACGGUUCUUGAGGGUUUAUUGAAUCAUCGUUGGCUUGGAAAGUUGUGAUUGGGAUUUGUUUGGAAUAUUCGUUUAAACACUCUCCUUGAUGUUAUUUAUUCCCCAUGUGUUGUUUGUCAUUGAUAUACACAUGUUUGGUAAGGAAGAGUGUAAAGUACGAAGGGUGAUGCCGUGCCAUAGUUAUACAUUAUCAUGUGAGGGAGAGUGUAAAGCACGAAGGGUGAUGUCGUGCCAUAUUAUUUGAGAGUAAAAGCACGAAGGGUGAUGCCGUGCCAUAUUAUUUGAGAGUAAAAGCACGAAGGGUGAUGCCGUGCCAUAUUAUUGGGAGUAAAAGCACGAAGGGUGAUGCCGUGCCACAUCAUUUGAGAGUAAAAGUAGGAAGGGUGAUGUUGUGCCAUUUCAUUUAUAUUGUUAUGCUUUUAUGUUAUCGUGAGAUCAUGGCACGAUGGGUGUUUUCGUGCAGGUGAGGAUGAGGGACAUGCAUCAUGUUGUGAUAUCUGUUUUUCCGUGUAUAUGUUCACGUCUUUAUCUUGAACGGUUAUUGUCGUAUUUAUAGACCUCGUGUGACUUGUUAUUAUUGUCCUGUCCUUGCUCUCUAUUUCAAUCGUUGUUGUGUUGUACAUAUCUUGUACUUGUUUUAUUUGCAAAACACAUGCCUAUUUCCUGUUGUUAUAAUUACCUCCAUGUCGUGUCUAUUCUGUUGCAUUUUAGUACAAGCCCUUUUUCUAUGUUAGUUAUUCAUGCCUCUGCUUGUUAACUUGUAAAGAUCAUGUGAUUCCUUCUUAUUUGUUAUAUCUGUACUUAGGCCUCCAUCAUGCUAGUUAAUUGAAGUUGAUAUUCCUUAUUUUUCAAUUGUUGUCAUUACUCACAUGCUUUCCGCCUAGUCUUUUAUUGUUGCCCACAUGUAUAUCCUCGUUCAUUAUUGCUACUUGCGUAUUUCCUACUUUGUAAUUCCUAUUUUCGAUAUUUAUGUCAUCUAGUUGGUUCUAUUAUAAGUAUAUGAGGAUGAGAUAAAAGCACGAAGGGUGUUGCCAUGUAAUUAACUUGAUAUCUGAGUACAUUCCUCAUGCUAUGAAAGUUAUGAAGUGACUGUAGUGGUUUAUCAGUUUCAUUCUAAGGAAAGCGAUGGUCAAGGUAUUGUAAGAUGCUAAAUUGUGAUCACUGCUAGUAUUCGAUUAUUAUUUGCGUAUUCGUUUCAUGUAAUCUUUUCUGUUAUAGCGUGGUAUAACUCUAUUGUUGAUUUAUACUACAGGUUUUUAUCAGUGAGUAUCUUUUAACUAAAAAGCCUCGUCACUACUUCCACGAGGUUAGACGAGAUACUUACCAGUAUAUGGGGUCGGUUGUACUGAUACAACACUUCUGCACAUUGCGUGCAGAUUUUGGAGUGGAGCUGCAAGUGAUAUCGGGUGCUGACUUUGAAGAUGUUCAUGCAUUCUGGAUAUAGUUUCCACUUGUCCUUGGUAGCUUAGGUUGUGCUAAUCUCUUAAGUAAAUUUCAAACACAUCGUGUAAUUAUUUGUACUAGCUUUAUAAAUUCCAAGUCUUAGAAGGUCAUGGUUCGUACUACUAGUUCUUGGGUAAAUUUGUAAAUGUUCAGAUAAUUCUUCUCUAUUCUUACUAUAAUCUCAUUCAGAUUGUAUUUUCUGUUAGUGGCUUACCUAGCGGAUCGAGUUAGGUGCCAUAACGACUUGUGAUUUUUGGGUCGUGACAGUUAUCAACCCCAAUGGUAAUAGUAGUGCAUUUAAUAAAGAAAAUAUUUUCAUCAUUAGAUUAAAAUGCAAUUUGUGUAAAUUAUAUGAUAGAAAUUAAAGAGCUAUCUUAGCUAGCAAAAAUGAAUAUACUGAUCAACUAAAUAAAAGGUUGAUUGCUAUGUUUUAUGGUAAUGUUACACCCAAUGUUUCGUACGUAAAAGUAUGCCAUAAGUAAAUUAAUGGGAGCUCGGAAAUGAGAUGUUACAUCUCGCAUUUUCGUGUGUUAAAGUUUUUUCGUAAGUUAAUCGAUGUAAGUUUGGGAAUGAUAUUAUUUUGAGAUUAUAAAUAUUAUGCUAUUUCAAACAAGCGACAAGUAAAUUCGUGAAUGUGAAAGGGUAAGCUGUAGCGAUCCGGCAGGUCAUUUUGAGAAUUAAUGCCCCGAUCAUCUAUUCACUGCUUUCCCCGUAUCUAUUUCUAUUAUUGUGAAUUGCCGGGAUGGUUCAUCUUGAGUUUCGGAGUGUUUUGGGACACUUAGACCCUAAAUAAGAGCGUAAGUCUUAGAAUUUGGACCGUAGUCGGGGAAGUAUGAAGAUGUCUCCGGAAUAGAAUUACGUUGAUUCCGCUAGCUCCGUUGGGUGAUUUCGGUCUUAGAGGCAUGUUUGGAUUGCGUUUUGGAGGUCUGUAGCUCAUUUAGGCUUGAAAUGGCGAAAGUUGAUUUUUUGGAGUUUCGGCCCAACAGUGGAAAUUUUGACAUCAGGGUCAAAAUCCGAUUCUAAAAGUUGGAAUAGGUCCAUAGUAUUGAAUAUGACUUGUGUGCAAAAUUUGGGUUCAAUCGUACGUGUUUUGCUUGGUUUCGGUAUCAGAUGUAGAAUUUUGGAAAUUCAAGUUUUUAAGUUUGGAUUAGAGGGUGAUUCGUAGUUUUAGAGUUGUUUGAUGUGAUUUGAGUGAUCAACUAAGUUCAAAUGAUGUUUUAGGAUUGAUUGGUAUGUUUGGUUGAGGUUCCAGGGGCCUCGGGUGAGUUUCGGAUGCUCAACGGGUCAUUUUUGGACUUAAAGAAGUGGCAGAUUUUCUGGUGUUUUGUUGCAGUGAAAUCCUUCAUCGCGUUCGCGAGAGGAGUCUCGUGUUCGCGUAGAGCAUCUGGGAGAAGCAGCUAAGUGGUACUUUGCAUUCGCGAAGGUGUGGACCCUUUAGCCUACGCGUUCGCGACAUGGUCCUCGCGUUCGCGAAGGGUCUGCCAGUGUAAGCUAUGCGUUUGCGAAAGGACCCUCGCGUUCGCGAAAGAGGAAUUUGGGCCAGUGGGAUUUUUCUCAACGCGUUCGCGAAGAAGGACGCAUCUGGGCAGAAUUUAAAAAUCCAAAAUCGAGGGUUUGAGUUCAUAAUUUUAAAAAUUAAUAGAGAGCUCGGUAGAAGGCAAAAUUUGGAGAGAUUUUCGGAGGAAGUUUGUGGGUAAUGAUUCCUAACUACUUUUUUAUUAUAUCCCAUUAAUCUAAGCUCAAUUUCAUCAUUUAAUUUCGAAUUUGGGGUGAAAAUUUAGGGAAAAUUUUAGAAAAUCUUUAGGCCGAAUUUUGGGAUUUUGAUCGAUAUUUUGGUAUCGGAUUUGGGUGAAUUUGGUAUGGUUAGACUCGUGAGUGAAUGAGUGUUCAUAAUUUGUGAUUUUUACCUGAUUCCUAGAUUUUGGUCCGGGGAGGAUUUUUUGGCAUUUUCCUAUUUUCUUACCUUAGCUUUGAAUUAAUUAGUUAAACUAGUUGCUUGUAGUUUUAUUUACGUUAUGUAAUUAAUUUGAUUAGAUUUGGGCUACUUUGAGUUGGAUACUCGUGGCAAGAGCGUGAUAUCAGAUUGAUUUUGAGCUGGUUCGAGGUAAGUGGCUUGCUUAACCUUGUGUGGGGGGAAUUUCCCUUAGGAUUUUGGUACUGUUAUUAUAUGAAUGCCGUGUACGUGAGGUGAUGAGUGCGUACAUGUGCUAAUUGUUAAAAAACUCCGUUUUCUUUAAGUAAAUAUCUAUGUUUUUCCUUUAAUUGAACAAUACUAGUGUGUGAAGCCUCAUGUUUAGCUCAGGAAAGCAUGCUUAUGUGACUUAAUUGUCUUAUUUGCGUUAACUGCUUAUUUGGAUUCUGUGUAGCAUGUCUAGAGUAGGAAUUUCCUAUUUCUUGAUACGAACUUGAAUAGAACUGUCAAUUUCUUGUUAAGACUAUUGUGUAUUUACUUUGGGACUACGGAUCGGUAUUUCGAGAGAUCUCCCUGCACAUUUAUAUUUGGGACUAAGGGACGGUAUCCUGGGAGAUACCCCUGUACUAGAUAUUUACUUUGGGACUACAGAUCGGUAUCCUGGGAGAUUCUCUAUACAUUUACGUUUGGGACUACCAGACGUUAUCCUGGGAGUUCCCCCUGUUGUUAUCUUUGUGUAUUGAGUUAUUUCUUUAUGUGAUAUCAUCUUUAUUGACUGUUAGUAUUUUAAUUAUACUGUCACAUUUCAUACUGUUUUACCUUGUUAUAUAUAUAACCAGUAGGGCCCUGACCUGAUCUCGUCACUACUCGACCGAGGUUAGGCUUGACACAACUGGGUACCGCUGUGGUGUACUCAUGCCCUUUCUUGCACAUGUUUUUCGUGUGUAGAUCCAUGUUCUUCUGCUCAACCAUACUAUCCGUGAGGCGAGGUGAUUCGGAGACUUCGAGGUAUAUCUACCGCGUUCGCAGGCCUGGAAGUCCCUCUCUAUUCUCCCUUCAGUUAUAGACUUCUUGUAUUUUUCUUCGUUUAGACUUCUGGAGUUAGAACACUAUGUAUUUCUUUAGCUUGUGAUUCAUGCGAUUCCGGGUUUUGGGAGUGCUAUGUUCAGUCGAGAGUGUUAUUAUUGUAUAUGCCGAGCGACAUUUUAAACUCUUUUAUUAUAGUUACUUGUUAGUUGGCUAGUUUUGUUUCUUUAAUUCAUUUUCCGCAAAUUGUUAGGCUUGACUAGUAGACUAGGUGCCAUCACGAUAGUUCACGGAGGGAGAACUUGGGUCAUGGCAUAAGCGAAUCGAAGAAAGUGAAUUUCGGCGAAGUUUGACUUUUUGAGAUAAAUACGAUCCAAGCUACAAUACCCCGUAUUUAUGGAUUAGUGUCAUACAAGGUACCACAUGACCAUGAUAGUAAGAUGUAUAAGGUAUGUUAAAAGUGAGUAGUAUUUUAAGUAAUUUGAGAUAAUUCUUAAUUAUGCAGGUAAUUAAUUAACUAUUGGGUAAUGAGAGAUUACCUAGUUAAUUAAGGAUUUAUUGGGUGAUUAAUUAAGCACAUUUGGAUAAGUAUUAAACUCCAAGAUGGCAGCAAAUUAAGCCCAAUUUUAUGACUCAUUAGUCAUUAGGAUAGGUGGCACAUUAAGGGGUCUUUGGGCAAGACUAAUCCCUAAAAAAUGAGGCCCACCUAAAAAUUUAGUAUAACUUUUCUAGUUCAAAAAUCAUUCUCCUAACCUCUUAAAAGACUUUCAGCAAAGGAGUGUAGUAACGUUAUUGACAAAAACAUUCUGCCAAGGAAUAUAGCAACAUUAUUGACAAAGAGUUUCAGCCAAGGAACGUAGCAACGUUAUUGAGAAAGAGUUUUAGCCAAGAUUAUCUUUGCAUAGCAACGCUAUUGCUUCGAGCAUUUUAUACGUAUUUCUCCUACUCCAAUUUUACCGUCACGUAUUUUGUUGCAAUUAACGUGUGUUAGUGGAAUUGUCAAGAAAAUCGACUCAGGCAUGUUAAGGAUAUCACUUCUUUCUUUUGGUGUGAUGUAUAUGACACAAACGAAACAAGAAAAAUCCACAACUUCCAUAAAUGACUCUAUUCAUAGAAUUAUUAGAGGUGCCUAUGUUCUUGAAUUUCCAUGUGUCCUAUUAUUUUAUAAUCUAUUCAUGAGCCUCAGAAAAAUACGUAAAUUGAUUUUAUGAUAUUAAUCAGAGGCAUAAUGGUCUUAUGACACUCCGAAAGAUUUUAUUGACGUACUUCUCAUGAAUUGCAUUCAUUUACAUUGACCCAUGACCAGAUGGAGUUAUAUACGCGUAUAUAUGUAUAUUAUAUGCAUAUGGGAUAUGGAAAAAGGUUACUGCAUUAUAUACGCACAACCACCUGAUCAGCUGGUAUACGUUGAUGAUUUUACCCACAGUGGCCGAGAUGAUGUGAUGAGAUGCCCUCAUAGGCUUGAUGAUGUUAUGAAUACAUGUACUAUGCAUGACAUGACAUUGAUACGCAUAUGCAUGACACUAUAAGUAUUUCAUGAUUUACAGAGUUAUCCAGACUUACGGGUUAAGUCAUUUACUCCAUGUUUCUUUCAUGUCUUUUAUGUACUUAUUUGUGUGCCUUACAUACUCGGUAUAUUAUUCGUACUGACAUCCUUUUUUCCUUGGGACGCUACGUUUCAUGCCCGUAGGUCCCAAUAGAUAGGUCGAAAGUCCUCCAAGCAGGCUAUCAGCUCAGCGGAAGAUGUUGGUGUGCUCCAUUUGCUCCGGAGUUGCUUGUUUGGUCAGUAUGAUUUAGACAUGUAUUGUUUGGUAUGACGGGGCCCUGUCCUUUACGAUAAUAUAUACUCUUAGAGGCUUGUAGAAAGAUGCCAUAUAUACGGAUGCUUGUAUGGCCUUGCCGACCUAUGUUUUGAGUUUACAAAUAAUCAUGUUGGCCUUAUAGGCCCGUAUGUUACAUGUAUAAGUUUUUAUAUCAGGUUGGGUCGUCCUAUAUUGAAUAUUUUCCUAUAUUUAUUCUGGUUAGCCCAUGACGGCCCGUUUGGCCCAUUUGCCAAUGAAAGUAUGAUAAGAAAUAUAUGUUAUGUUGGUACUCGGUUGAGUAAGGUACCGGGUGACCGUUGCGGCCCAUAAGUAUGGGUCGUGACCGGUAAAAAUAAAAUAUUUUUCAGUUUUGACUCAGUAGAAGAUGAUACCAACAAUAACUACCAAGAAGAAUACUUAAAUACUUUAAUACCAAAUGGCCUUCUUCCGUACAUGCUUUUGUCAAGUUCAUUAUUUCUUACGUAUGUUAGUGUCACCAUAUAUAUAAUAGACUAAGUUAAAAUUGAUCUUCUAUUGCAUAUAUGUUUAUGCACGUCAUGCUACUGAAAAUUUAGAUCCGCUAAAUAGCUUAUGUAAUAGUACACAUAUGGUAUAUAGAUUAUUUAACGACAACGUCAUACAUGCAGAACUUAUGAUACUGGUCAAUGUGCUUCUAAGUAUGUGUUUAUCCCCAAAUUCAACUUUUGUCUUCCGAAACUAAAGAAUAUCCUUUUAAAUUUGUGUGAAAAUAAUUUUCAUUAUGUUUAUGUUUUAUAGUUUUAAUAAAUAAAACACAAUGACAAACAUCCUAAAUGUUGAACUAUAUUUACCAUAAUAUGUUUUCUUACACGAAUAACUAUAUGUUGCACUUUCAACAGAGAUAUCAAUAUUAACAAUAAGAGUUUUGGUUGUGGAAUAGUAACCAAAGCAUUAGAAGGCAAUAUACACAAAAAUAUAGCGCAUAUAAAGAAGUGUUUGGCAAGAUACCAUCACGUUAGAUACCUUUAAACUACAAUACAUAAUUAUCUAAUUAACAUGGCUAAACUUUUCCAUUUUCAGAUAUUACUAAUAUCAUAUUAGAAUGGCAGUUGGAAGGAGAAAGACAAUAAACCAACAAAUAAAAGGCAAGCAAAGAAACUGUUCGACUGAAUAUACCUAACAAGUUUGCCGACACUCCUCAAUAUUCAACAGAUGCCAAAAUAUGGGUCCUAAUCAUAAUGCCGACCUUUUUUAUUGCUAUCCAUACUUUAAUAUAGUAUAGUUAUGAAAAAGGUUACUAUCAAGCAAUUCAUGUGGGAGAUGAGCUGGAAUUUCGGUUCAAAGAUACUCAAGAUCUCCAUUUGUGAUUUCAAACUUUUACAUUUUUUUUUUGGGGAGAUAAUAAUAGUUUUCAGUGUAUUGUAUCGAAGCCAUAUGAAGUUAAUUAGCUAGCGAUGUCUUUAAUUCCAACAGAAUGGAUAAUGAAAUAAAUUGCUAUUGAUAUUUUGAUUUUUUGGUUCCUUUUAUUUUCUGCUAUUAAUGAGAUAAUAUAUUUUUAUUUUAUGCUUCUUAUGGGAUCAUAAAUCUACAUAUAACGUGACAUUGGUGGAAGAUUACAAAUUCUUAAAAAGAAAAAUGUUAUGUUGCUCAAUUUUCUUUCUUGAUAGCAGACAAAAUUCAAGAACAAAGACAGAACAAUAUUAUAAAAUGAGAGCAAAAUAUAGCUUUUUUGUGUACAGAAUAUUUCUAUCCCUAUAACGGAUGAUAAUCUUUUUAUUUAUAGCUCUAUUCAGUGAGACAAGAUCCCCAAAUUAAGUUUUUCUUGAAUGAGAAUAAAACUGUCAUUAAUGGAUGCAUAAUGAUUGGUUAUAAAUGCAGAUAUUCUUUGCAACUGCUGCUCAUUGAAUAAUAUUCGAUGACAAUGCUUUGAAUCUUCGUUACUGGCUACUCUAUCUUCGGAAUUCGUUCAACAUCGAUUGCAUGCUUACAUCCGGUGAUGAUUGUUUGCUGACUCAUGUGCCACCUGUAUUUAGUUCUACGUGUCACUUUGUCAUUCAUCCAACUGUCAUUAACCUAUUUUACCCCAUACAGAUACUCCCCUUACUUUUCGGUAACACAACUUAGUGUUACCGGAAAGUAGAUAAGAAUUCUUUUCUUGGCGAAAAAAUUCCUGAACGGUCUCUGACACUUGAAAGGGCACAUGUCUUCUCGCAUUUAAUGACCCAAACAUGUGUUGCUCCAUGAUUCAGCAAAUAUUUUCACUGGUUUUCGAGGUACUCAUGACUAAGAUUUUUGUUAUCUAUAACUUCUCCCCUACUCAUCAUUUUUACUCUUUACUUUCACAACUCCCUCUUCUUCCUUGAUUCUCCUUAGAACCAUUCUGUGACAUUCAACUUUCUUAGUAAAACUUUUCUUCAAACAUAUCUUCAAGCAUUACCAUCCUCGGAAACUCUGGCCUUUUCUUCAAAAGACCCCCAAAGAAAACAAAAACAAAGGAAGUUGAAGCUGAAUCUGAACCUCCCACCCUGAACUCCAUCAUACCUCUUAAACUUAAUACGAAAUCAGACCUUCAAUAACAGAAAGCACCUUCAAAUUCUAAAAGUGAUAGGUUCUGGCCUAUUCGGAGGAACCCUUCUUCCAUUCGUCCUCCUAGUGUCCUUGUCAUGAAGGAGGAAUGCCAUUGGAACAAGGUUGAAAUCCUCACCCCCAAAAAAGGUAGAAAGAGUUACCUUCUCCAAGCCAGGUUUCAUAUAUUUUUACACAUACCCUUUCACUUUGGGCCAUUUAACUUUGAGAAUGGGUGAAGGAACUGACCCAAUAAUCUUAGAGUUAUCCCAUCGAUACCAAGUAUGUUUGGCAUAAGUAGGCCUAUCUGUGUGGCGUACGGUGGUUUGCCACCACCAAUGGUGUUAUGAGACCGAGGAAACCCUAACUCUCGUACAUAUAAUGAACCUCUACUCCAAAAAGAUUUUUCGUGAGGGUAUGCUAAAUCUUAGAAAAUGCGGUGAUCAUGCUCUUCUUACUAGCAUUGACAACGACACUAACCGUGGAUGGAUGGAACAGUUUGUUAUUAUCGCUACCAGGGAUAUCAUCCUAACCACAAUACCAGCUUUUCCCAAAUCAUGAAAUCUUUUUCGUAAGUUUUUCGGGUAUUUGCUUCCUUUCCUUGUAAAAAGAAAUCUUCUUUCUUUGCUAACUUUUUAUUUUCUUUAUUCCAGCCACUCACUAGGAGCUCCAGCGGUUCAAGAUUUGGACCGAUGGGUACAAAAAAUUCUGAAUAUCACUAUACCAGAAUUCUAAAGGUGAAAGGGAAUGACUCCCAAAUACGGGUGGAAAUCCAAAAAUCAUGAUAAAUAAAACUCUUCUUCCUUUAUUUCAACCGUUUAAUACAUUCUGCAAACAAUUUAACUACCUUAUAUUGCCAAACAGGACUUCCGAACGGAUCCAUUGUGUGCCCCGACAUCGAAGCUCUUGAUGACCCAAUGGAAGCUCAACGAGUAUUUUAGAGUGCCCUUAACCAGAGGAGGGCUCGUGAAUGUACUCGUGCCUCUACUAAAGGUGCCUCCUCCCGAAGUCUCUAGUCAAAAAAUAAGCAACCAAAAAGGAAACGUAUCUCCACGGUUGGGACUCAGGAGAAGAGAAUAAUAAAACACCAACCGGACCAACCACAAUGGUCCUUGAUGAUGAAGAAGAGGUUGAUGGUGAAGAGGCCCCCUUUCAAAAAAGAAAAAGAUCUUCAUCAAUUCAACCGGAUGCUUAGCCGGGGGAGUUUCAAACUCUACCUCCAAAGGAAGUUCAAGAACUCUGGGAGGGGGAGGGGGUGAAAUAGCAAUAUCCGAAAAUGCUACAUCUCAUUUUUGGAUUCCCACAAUUGCUUCUGCUUAAAGGAUUUGAAUUCCUGACCUUCCUCCAUUGUCAACUUUUGAGCCGAUAAUAGCUUCUUCUCCAUCCACACCAACUACUUCUUCUCCACUGACCCCAGCUGAACAAGUAGGGAAUGCCCCUUCUCCACAGUCUCCCAACCAAGAAAAUUUGAGAAAUACUUAUUUGGUACCCACUCAAGACCCUCAUGGAAAACAAAGUGCCAUUCUUUCGAUUUCGAAGGAGUGCCAUAUACUUUCCAAGACGGUGGAUCUCGCCAAUUACCUGAAGUCGUUGGGCUCAGAGAAAGAUUGGAGAAAGUAGGACACUCUUUUUGUGAAGUGUCUGAUAAACAAUAACAUGCAUUGUUCGGUGCAGGUAGCAAUCUAACUUCCUCCUAUCUUCUUUUAAUUUGCACUUCGCAUUAAUUACUUUAGGUCUAACCUUUUUCAUGUCAACCUUAUUGCUUCCAAGGGCCUGCAAAGGUUGAUUUUGGACAAGCAAGAGAUUUCUUCAGAACGAGAUCAACUUUUGGUUGAAGGAAUUAGCUUACCGGGCGCCUCUCAGUGCUGGAGGCAAAAAUUGCUCAAAUAGAUGACCUCAAGGCCCGAUUCCAGCAGUCCAAACAAGAUAGAGUGGCUCACAGCUUGGAAUCCGCCCAGCUACAUGAAAACCUUACAGACCCAAAGCCUAAAUGUGUUGAACUUCAUGAUAUUGUGACUGUUGCUGCCGAGCGCGAGUCUGUCUUUAUGGAACAAGUUAAUAACUUAGAGGCUAUCUUACGCUCCAAAAUUGAGGAGGCCAAUGCUGCCAAGGAGAAUAGGGCGAGAAUGGAGGAAAGAUUCAAAAGGACCAUGGAGCAGAAUCAACUCCAUUCAUUAACCUAUGUCGAGCUGGACUCCAAAAUCAACAUUAUUAAAGCUGAAAAUGAAAAUCUCUAAUCCAAGAUUGAAAAAUUCCGAGCUAAACUCUAAGACCAAGAGGAUCCACUCGUCUUCGAGAAAACCUACACCAUUUAUUAUACGAAGAGGAAGACCUUGGAGGAUGCUAAAGAUGGAAUUUCUAACAUUGAUGAAUAUAGUGCUAAAGCACAGGAGCUGGAUACAACUACUCACAAGAAUCUCCCUACUCGGCCCAUUACAUCUGAUUCUUUGAAUACUAACUCCGAGUAAUCGGGAACCGAGGGAGAGACUGAAAAAGAUGAAGGCCUCUAAUCGGAAGUGGAACAACCUUCUCCUAAUAAAGAAAACGAAGGCUUUUCUCUCCCUUUGGGUUCUGGCAGCAAGAACUGAUGUAGUUUUCAUUACUUCUUGUAAUUGUGACAAAACUUUCCACUAGUUUGGCAAUUUAUUUAAUAAAAGAAACCAUUUACUUAAGUAUUGUGCAAGAAAAUAUUCUUUUACAUUAACUGACAAAGUUUCAGGAAUCUUUUCACAUCCGAUAGCUUUUGAUUCCAGGCAUAAACACUUCCAGAAUCUACCUUUUACUAUGAGGGUUUCAUAAGAGAGGGCCCUCGUAUUUACGAUGACAAUGUCUCAUGUUCAUUCCGGCACAACCAUUUAAAGUUUUUGUUAACACUCAAAUGAUAAAAUAAAUUAACUUAUCAUUCAGGAAAGAAUAAUAUAAAAAUAAAAGGACUUUGAUUUAUUCCCUCUAUCUUUAAAAGUAUAUUUACAUAAACAUUCAUUUGCUUAAGUAAAUAAAGGUUCCAAUACAUGUGGCUAACUUGUACAACUUAUUUCUGUGAGGCUGAUCAUGUAGUCACCGGCCCUGAUAAGAUAUUGAUCCUGGUUCUACUGGUCCCUGUCUUUAUAACACUUUUACUGCUUUGAUAUGUAUUAUUCCCACCAAUGUUCAGAUUCUAAGUGUGAGAAUUAGAACACUGAGGUCUUGCAUUCGUCGAUGACAUAUCGUAGUAUCUUUACAUUAUUGCCUUAUUAAUAGAAAUAACUUGGGGAUGGUUAAAUAAUCUACUUCCAGAUGUUAACAAGCCAAAGAUUACUUAACCAUCCACAAGUUGUUUGCCUCACGAGUUGAUCUACAUAAAACUAUUUCUGGAAGUCCCUCAUUUGUCGACGACCCUUCCUUCAUAGUAUGCUUUAUAUUGUUGCCUCAUUAAAAACCUUGCUAGAAAAAUAUAAUUGGGAUAAAAACUGGUCGAAGAGAAAAGGAGUGUAGAGCAUACUUUUAGUACCAGCAAGGAUCUUUAGCAAUAUUACCUUUUGAGGUGGGUCAUAUUCCAAUUGCUUGGCAAUUUGACUCCAUCUUGAUCUUCCAAUUCAUACGAACAUUUACCAGUUAUAGCUGAAAUCUGAUAAGUUCUUUCCCAUGUUGGUCCCAGCUUCCCAACAUUAACGUUUCAAGUACUUUGAGUGACUUUUCUUAGGACCAAAUCCCCAACUUUGAAAUAUCAUAGAUUCUCUCUGCGGUUAAAAUACAUUUGCAUCAUUUGCUUUUGUGCCAUUAUCCUUACAUACGCCAGAUCCCCAUGCUCUUCAAGCAAAUCUAAUUUAUCCAGCAAUGAUUCAUUGUUUGCUUUUUCUUUUGCUCGGAAAAACCCUAUGUUCAGUUCCCCCACUUCCAUCGGUAUCAAAGACUUUUAAUUGUAUACAAGUGAAAAGGGUGUUUUAUACGUGCUCGACUUUGUCGUGGUCUGGUAUGCCCAUAACAUACCCGGUAGCUCAUCUGGAAACUUGACUUUAGCAUCUUCUAACUUCUUUUAAGGUUUGAAUAAUUACCUUGUUAGUCGACUCCACCUGUCCAUUAGCACUCGAGUGGUAUGGUAAAGAUGUAACUCGUUUGAUCUUCAAUCCUUCCAAAAACUUUGUCAGUUUGGAAACUAUGAAUUGUGGUCCAUUGUCACAAGUUAUUUCUAUUGGUUUUCCGAAUUGGUAAAUUAUGGUCCUAUAUAAAAUUGACCAUCUCUCAUUAUUCGAUCUUUUGGUAAGCACAUGCUUCAACUUAUUUAGUAAAAUAAUAAUUUAAAACCAAAAGAAAUUUUACCUUACCAGGUUCUAGUGGCAAGGGACCCACUAUGUCCAUCCCCCAUUUCAUAAAUGGCCACGGUGACACCACCGAAUGCAAAAGUUCUACAUAUCAAUGCACUAACUGUGCAUGACGCUGACAUUUAUCACACUUUUGUAGAAUUAUCUUUGCAUCUUGCUACAUCCGGGGUCAAUAGUAGCCAGCUCUGACUAACUUGAGAAUUAAUUAGUCUACACCAGAAUGGUUCCGGAAUACUCCUUCAUGAACUUCCAUCAUCACAUAGUCAGCCUCCGAGGCCCCUAGACACAAAUCUAGUGCCCCUUGGAACGAUCUCAUGUAUAACUGUCAAUCAAAAAGAUAGUAACGAGUCACCUUGGUCCGUAGUGCCAAGGAUUCUUUUGGGUCUUCUAGAAAUUUGCCAUGUCUUAGAUAUUCAAUGAACUCGUUCCUCCGGUCCCAUAUUAAGUUGGUUGAAUUAAUUUCACAGUAGCUGUCCACGCCCAACACCGAAUAUAGUAAUUGAACGAAUAUACCAGAAUCAGAUCCUUCCAUCUCUGUGGAUGAACCCAAAUUGGCCAAUGCGUCUGCCUUCAAAUUUUCCUCCCUUGGAAUGUGGACGAUUGACCACUCUGUGAAUCGUGUAAGUAAUGGUUGAACCUUGUUCAAGUUCUGUUGCAUGCGCUACUCCUUGGUGUCGAAAAUUCUAUACACUUGGUUUACCACCAACUGGAAUCGCAUUUUAUCUCGAUGACCUUGGAACCUAGUCCCCGAGCUAGUUCAAGUUCUGCAACCAAAGCCUCGUACUCGGCUUUAUUGUUAGUUAAUGGUAAAAUUCUAUUGGCCUUCCUUAGGGUUUCCCCCAAAUGAGUGAUUAAAAUUACACCAAAACCGGACCCUUUUACGUUGGAGGCUCCAUUUGUAAACAAGAUCAGACUCUCUAUACCAUUCCCGAUACCAACAAUGCUUCUUUAGCAGUAAAGGCAUUAAUUCCGAACUGAAAUCAGUCACGAAGUCGGCCUAAACUUGUUACUUAAUUGCAGUCUUGGGCUUGUAUUCAAUAUAGAAUUCACUAACUUCGACCACCUACUUAGCCAAAUGACCUGACAACUCAGGCUUAUGAAGGACAUUCCUUAACGAAAAGGUUGUCACAAUGGCUAUUAGAUGACAUUAAAAAUAUGGUCUAAGCUUCUAAGAGGCAACUACGAGAGCUAAGGCCAGCUUUUCAAGGUGCGGAUAACGUGUAUCCGCUCCUGAUAAUAUUUUACUAAUAUAAUAAAUGGGAAAUUGCAUACCAUCUUCUUCCCGGACCAAAACGGCACUUACCACUACUUUUGAGACCGCUAGAUAAAUCAAUAGUUGCUCACCUUCUCCUAAUUUCUACAACAACGGAGGGCUAGAUAGGUACCUUUUUAGGUCUUUAAGUGCAUAUUGGUAUUCCGGAGUCCAUACGAUGUCAUUCUUUUUUUUCAAAAGCAAAAAAAAAAUGAUGGAACUUUUACGAAGACCUCGAGAUGAACCUUCUUAGAGAUACCAAUCUACCGGUCAACAUCUUUAUUCCUUCACGCCUGUCAGCUGGUCUGGGAUAUUCUCGAUGGAUUUGAUUUUAUUGGGGUUUACCUUAAUUCCUCUUUGAGAGACCAAAAACCCCAGGAACUUAUCGGAACCCACUCCGAAGGCAUAUUUCUUCAGGUUGAGAUUCAUGUUGUACUUUUUCAGAAUGUCAAACGUCCCUUAGAGAUGUUCCAGUUGAUCUCCUGCAUAAAGAGACUUAACUAGCAUGUCGUCGAUAUAAGCUUCCAUCGUCUUACCUAUCUAUUUUUUAAAUAUCUUAUUAGCGAGCCUCUAAUAAGUGGCUCCCGUAUUUUUAAUCCCACAAGGCAUCACAUUAUAGCAAUAUGUGGUAAAGUUUGUGAUGAAAGAAUUCUUCUUUUAAUUUUCUGGGUCCAUCGUAAUUUGAUAAUACCCGAAAUAAGCAUCAAGAAAACUCAUCAACUCGUGCCUGGCUGCAGCAUUGAUCAUUUGAUCAAUGUUCGGCAAUAGGAAAAAGUCUUUGGGGCACACUUUAUUUAAAUUCUUAUCAUCUACACACAUCCUAAAUUUUCUAUUCUUUUUAGGCACUACUACGUUAGCUAUCCACUUCGAGUACUUUACCUCUCGAAUUGAACUGAUGUUAAGUAAUCGGGUUACCUCUUCCUUAACAAACCUGUUUUUGACCUUUGCUAUCAAUUGUUUCUUCUGCCUUACCGGGGGGAAGUUUGGAUCCAGACUAAGUUUGGAGACCUCCAAAUCCAAUGGAAAAUUUGUCAUAUCUGAAUGCAACCAUGAAAAGCAAUCAACGUUAGAUUUAAAAAAAUCUAUAAGUUUCAACCUGAGUUCGGGACUCAACCCCGUUCCUAAAUGAAAUUUUCUUUCCAGAAAUUCUUCAAACAAAGCCACUUGUUUGAGCUCUUCUGCGGUUAACUUGGUUGCAUCCAUCUUUUCUGGUACCUGAAAAGACCUUGGUGCCUGAUAUAAUUCUGAUGACUUCUCGUUUUUAUCAUCUACAAUUGGGAUGGGAGAAGGCAUUGGUUCCUGUAGUUGCUAUUUGCUGGUUUCUUUGCCCUUGCUGCUGGAAAUGGUUACUGUGUUCAUCUCCCUUACAGCAGAUUGAUCUCCUCUGAUCUGCUUGAUCCCUUCUAGUGUUGGAAACUUUAACAGUUAAUGGUAUGUGAAGGUACGACCUUCAUUUUGAUGUAUCCACGGUCUUCCAAAGAUUAUAUUAUAGACCAUGUCGCCAUUUACCACUUCAAACAGGGUGGUCUUUGCUACACCUUCAGCAUGUGUGGGCAGAAAAAUUUCUCCUCGGGUUGUUAUACUUGUUAUGUUGAAGCCAGCUAAAAGCUUUGUUGAUGGAAUGAUAUUCCCAGUUAACUUUGCUUCUCUCCAUUGUAUGAUAUUGGUUGAACUUCCUGGAUCAACCAAAAUACGCUUAAUACUAAAAUCUAAAAUAUUAAAAGAAAUUACCAAAGCAUCAUUUUGCGGUAGGAUAAGUCCAUCGGCAUCUUCCAUCGUGAAGGUGAUGUCAUCUUUUGAGACUUCUCGGAUCCUCUUGCCAUGAGUCACUGAUAUAUUCGUCUUAUUUGCUGGCAAAAAUGUCACCCCAUUUACUUUGUCUCCUCUGAAGAUCAUGUUGAUUGUCAUUCGAGGUGACCCUUCUGCUGGUUUUAAUGGUUAUGUAAUAUCCCUAUUUCUCUUAGAGUUGUUUUUGGUGCGAUCGCUUAACAAUUCCCCGAGGUGACCAUUCUUUAACAAUAUUUCCACCUCUUCAUGAAGAUGUCGGCAGUCCCCAGUCCUAUUAUCGUGAGUCCCAUAGAAUUCACACCAUAGAUUAGGAUCCCUUUGGCUAGGAUCCGAUCAGAUCGAUUUUGGGAACCUAAAUUCUUUAAUAUUUCUCAUGGGCGACACUAGUUCCACUAGGGUGAUACUAAAAUUGUAAUUAAACAACCGGGGAUACGCUGAAUCUUAGGAUCAUGGCACCUUUUUCUCCUACAACAAUCUGUUACUCCGGCCAUGAUCCAUCCUUCUAUCGCAAAUAAACCUAUUCGAUGACUGGAAUCCUUUAUUAUCGUGCCCUUCGGCCUUCUCAUAAGGCUGAAAAUGACUUCUAGAGUGUAUUCGAUCUAUAUCAAAAUCAUUUUUAAACUUAUCUUGAUUUCAAUCACGAUUCCGUCCUUUGGAAGACACCGUGGAACCAAGUCGACCAUCUUCACUUCUGAUCUUUGACUCAUAGAGAUAUUAAACAUCUGCCCAUAUGGUUGCCUGAAUUUCGAGCAAGCUCUCCUGCAAUUUUUGUGAGUUAUCGGAGCUUAAUAGGUUGAGACCCUUUGUAAAUGCCUCCGUUGCCCACUCAUCUUGAACCGCAGAUAACAACAUCAUUUCUUUCCGGAACCAGAUCACAAACUCUCUUAACAAUUUAGCUUUUCUUUAAGAUAUCAUGAAUAUAUCCACCUUCCUUGCUUGGACCUUUCUUGCUCCAGCAUUAUCUUUGAUAAACGAAUCUACAAGCAUUUCAAAAGGGUCAAUAGAAUGUUUUGAUAAGAGGGAAUACCAGGCUAAGUCACCAUUCGUAAGGGUUUCACCAAACUUCUUCAACAAAACCGAUUCGAUGUAAUGCUGGGCCAAGUUGUUUUCCUUUACUGUCGUAGUGUAGGUCAUAUCAUGAUGUGCUCCUGUGGAUCCGAAGUCACAUCAUAUUUUGGUAUAUCCAACAUCUUAAACCUCUUUGGGAUUAACUUCGAUGCAGCACAUAGUUUAAACAGCAACUACAUAUACUUCUUUAAAUCUGAUCCUUUUAACAUCGGCGGCACCCCCGUGAUAUGAUCCAUCAGAGCGAAAUUCCUUUGCAUUCUAAUCCAUUCAUUCAUUCAUUUCUCUCAUUAAUCUUAUGAGCUCGGUUUUGAAAGGGUUAUUUAAAUUGUUGUUCGCAAAUUCACUACCGGUACCUCUGGCCUCGUCGAAAUUGACCUCCUCUCUUGGUGUGUCGUUAUCAGUUCCUUGAGUCGUUUGCUUUACGAGAAUGCUGGGAGGAAUCGGGGCCCUUCCAUUAGCAUUAUUAGAAGCUCCCCAUACUACAUGUUUCAAUUUUGUCAUCACCCAAUCUUGCCUUGAGAGGCGAUCCAUAAUUGCCUUUUUCUAUUCCCUCAAGAUUUUGACUAUUUCAACAACGUGCUCAUCCUUUGCAUCAUCAAGAGUUGGGCCCCGCACAUGUCGAGGAUACAGACCUUCGCGAACUAGGUUGUUUCAUCCCCUUCGUUGUGGGGCUCACUGAUUGAAUCAUCACGCGUGAACACAUCUUCUUGUUGACCGUGUACUCCAACAUUUUAAACAAUAUUGACAUCAUUAGCUGUCAUACCUUAUCUUUCUUUUUCUAAGGAAGGAAUCAAAAUUUGUCAGUAAUAGAUAAAUAGAUCAAAGCAAUUACACAAUUGUCAAUGCCCCACAGUGGACGCCAAACUGUUUACCCAUAAAAUGAUAUAGUUAGAUUUGUAACGUAGUUUAUAGACAAAUAAAUCGAUUUGGUCCUAAAGUACGAAAACAAUAAUAACCGAAACAAGAAUACGAAAUAAAACUAAUGGAAACACAAGCCCGAGUAUGAAUUUAGCCUUUCCAAUGGCAAAAAGAGAACAUUAUUCAAGAACAAAGACUGAGAACAAUAUUAUAAAAUGGGAGCAGAAUAUAGCUUUUUUGUGUACAAAAUAUUUCCACCCCUACAAUGGAUGCUAAUCCUCCUACUUACAGCUCUGUUCUGGGAGACAAGAUCCUCAAAUCAAGUUCCUCUUGAAUGAGAAUAAAACCGUCAUUGAUGGCUGCAUAAUUGUUGGCUAUAAAUGCAUAUAUUCUUUGUAACAGUUGCUCGUUGAAUGUUAUCUAAUGAAAAUGCUUUGAAUCUUCAUUAUUAAUUGGCUACUCCGUCUUCGAGAUUCAUUCAGUAUCGAUUGCAUGAUUACAUCUGGUGCCAGCUGUUUGCUGACUCACGUCCCAUCUAUCUUUUGUUCCAUGCGUCACUUCGUCAUUCGCCCAACUAUCAUUAACCGAUUUUGCCCCAUACAGGUGUAGCUUUGAUUAUCGACACACAAGUUGAGGCUGACUCCAGUAUAUUGAGGCCAAAGGCACAGACAUAUAUAGGACUAGGACUAAACCGUGUAUUUCCGAGAAAAACUUAUAUACAUACGAUACCUAAUUCAAAACAUAGGAAAAUGGUAAUUUGUUUAGUCUUUUUCCCGUUCUUUUCCCUUUUUGAAUGAUUUUAGAAGUUUAAUUGUAUUCUAAAGACUAAACAUCAAUCCUCCCACGAUACUUGAGUUUUGAAGGUUACGUGGGUGGCAUACAUAAGUUCGUUGCUCAUUCUUCAAUUGUCAUUAUCUUUUUUUGUUGUUUCUAUCGUCACUUCCUUUUCUUUGUUGCAUUAUAGUGUUUGAUCUAAUUCUUAAUGUUAGCUAGAAAAAAUGGACAGCAAUGAGGUGUUAUAUAUAUNNNNNNNNNNNNNNNNNNNNNNNNUAUAUUAGUUAGUUAAAGCGGUUAAUGAAAAAAAAAGUUUGAUAUCACUAAACAACUCAAUAAAUGAAUAUGCAUGCGAGUCAUCUAUCAUAUCCGUAUAACAAUUAAGCAUUGGUUGAUUUUCGCCACUUGGAAUUAAAAAUUUACGUAACAAACUUCCUUCAUGCAAAGAGGUGUGAACAUUGGAUUAGAACUCGUACACACUGGACAAACAAAUUAGUCCCCACAUCAACUAACUCAAGUUCCAAACUCAUAGGCUAGCUAGUUAUAACCAACACUUAUAAAUACCACUCAAUAUUAACAAGAGAAAACAUCCCAACAGCACCCAAGUAUCUUGUACUACUACUUUUUCAAAACUCAUCUGCCAUCACUUUUAUUACCAAAAUGGCUGAAGAGAAGAAGCACCACUUCGGUCUCUUCCACCACAAGGACAAGGAGGAAGACAAAACUACCUAUGGAGAAACUCCAUAUGGUGGUGAUACUGAAAAAACUACCUAUGGAGAGAAUACAUAUGAAGAGAAAACUAGUUAUGGUGGGGGAGAUAACUAUGGGGAUAACAAAUAUGGUGAGAAAACUGGCUAUGGAGAAAGUGGAUAUGGAGAGAAAACUAGUUAUGGUGAGGGAGGUAACUAUGGAGAUAGUGGCUAUGAAAAUAAGACUAGCUAUGGAGAUAGUGGCUAUGAAAAUAAGACUAGUUAUGGAGAUAGCGGCUAUGAAAACAAGACUGGCUAUGGAGAUAUUCCAUCUGAUACUACCUAUGGAGAGAAAACUAAUUAUGGUGAAGGAGAUACCUAUGGAAAAGGAGCUGCCUACUCAUCUGAGACCACUAAUUUUGAAGAGACUACUGAUGAAGG